UACGUAGGGGGCAAGCGUUGUCCGGAUUCAUUGGGCGUAAAGAGCUCGUAGGCGGUUCAGUAAGUCGGGUGUGAAAUCUCCGUGCUCAACACGGAGCGGCCACCUGAUACUGCUGUGACUCGAGUCCGGUAGGGGAGUGUGGAAUUCCCGGUGUAGCGGUGAAAUGCGUAGAUAUUGGGAGGAACACCAGUGGCGAAGGCGGCUCACUGGACCGGUACUGACGCUGAGUGCGCGAAAGCGUGGGGAGCAAACGGG
rnacentral:rRNA from 1 species